UCCUUGACUUGCAGCUAUAUGCAACGGAUCAAAAUUAGAUCUGUUCUUCGUCGUAAGUGUCGCUUUAUUGGAAUACUUCAAUAGCUCCUUAACGACUUCUAUGUGUCCUCUUUCUGCGGCGGUGAACAGAGCCGUUUCCCCCAAUUCGUUGACCUCGUUCACUACUAACGAUCGGACCUCAGCAACUUCCGCAUCGAAAUCGGCGCCACUGAGAUUUCGCACCAUCUGUGAAUCAAUAUCAUCAAGAAUCUGCUUCACGGCGGCUAGAUCUCCCCGUUGCGCCGCCAGAUGAAGCUCAGUGUCGUUG
rnacentral:misc_RNA from 1 species